rnacentral:rRNA from 1 species
UACGGGGGGGGCCAGCGUUGUUCGGAAUUACUGGGCGUAAAGGGCGCGUAGGCGGUUCGAUAAGUCAGCUGUGAAAACCAUGGGCUUAACUCAUGGCCUGCAGUUGAGACUGUCGGGCUGGAGUGUGGGAGAGGAGAGUGGAAUUCCUGGUGUAGCGGUGAAAUGCGUAGAUAUCAGGAGGAACACCGGUGGCGAAGGCGGCUCUCUGGACCACAACUGACGCUGAGGCGCGAAAGCUAGGGGAGCAAACAGG